GCAAGUCGAGCGGUAGAAUGUACUUCGGUAUAUUUGAGAGCGGCGCACGGGUGAGUAACGCGUACAUGACCUACCCAUAAGAACGGAAUAGCCCUGGGAAACUGGGAUUAAUGCCGUAUGUGAUUAGAGAUGUUAGAGGUUUCUAAUUAAAGUUGAGGCGCUUAUGGAUGGAUGUGCGUCUGAUUAGCUAGUUGGCGAGGUAACGGCUCACCAAGGCGACGAUCAGUAGGGGGCGUGAGAGCGUGAUC
rnacentral:rRNA from 1 species